AGAGUUUGAUCCUGGCUCAGAUUGAACGCUCGCGGCAGGCUUAACACAUGCAAGUCGAGCGGGCGAGGUUGCUUCGGUAACUGAGCUAGCGGCGGACGGGUGAGUAAUGCUUAGGAAUCUGCCUAUUAGUGGGGGACAACAUUCCGAAAGGAAUGCUAAUACCGCAUACGCCCUACGGGGGAAAGCAGGGGAUCUUCGGACCUUGCGCUAAUAGAUGAGCCUAAGUCAGAUUAGCUAGUUGGUGGGGUAAAGGCCUACCAGGGCGACGAUCUGUAGCGGGUCUGAGAGGAUGAUCCGCCACACUGGGACUGAGACACGGCCCAGACUCCUACGGGAGGCAGCAGUGGGGAAUAUUGGACAAUGGGCGCAAGCCUGAUCCAGCCAUGCCGCGUGUGUGAAGAAGGCCUUUUGGUUGUAAAGCACUUUAAGCGAGGAGGAGGCUACUUGGAUUAAUACUCUAGGAUAGUGGACGUUACUCGCAGAAUAAGCACCGGCUAACUCUGUGCCAGCAGCCGCGGUAAUACAGAGGGUGCGAGCGUUAAUCGGAUUUACUGGGCGCAAAGCGUGCGUAGGCGGCUUCUUAAGUCGGAUGUGAAAUCCCCGAGCUUAACUUAGGAAUUGCAUUCGAUACUGGGAAGCUAGAGUAUGGGAGAGGAUGGUAGAAUUCCAGGUGUAGCGGUGAAAUGCGUAGAGAUCUGGAGGAAUACCGAUGGCGAAGGCAGCCAUCUGGCCUAAUACUGACGCUGAGGUACGAAAGCAUGGGGAGCAAACAGGAUUAGAUACCCUGGUAGUCCAUGCCG
rnacentral:rRNA from 1 species